rnacentral:rRNA from 1 species
AGUGAACGCUGGCGGUAGGCCUAACACAUGCAAGUCGAACGGCAGCACAGUAAGAGCUUGCUCUUACGGGUGGCGAGUGGCGGACGGGUGAGGAAUACAUCGGAAUCUACUUUUUCGGGGGGGAUAACGUAGGGAAACUUACGCUAAUACCGCAUACGACCUACGGGUGAAAGCAGGGGAUCUUCGGACCUGCCGCAAUUGAAUGAGCCGAGUUCGGAUUAGCUAGUUGUCGGGGUAAAGGCCCACCAAGGCGACGAUCCGUAGCUGGUCUGAGAGGAUGAUCAGCCACACUGGAACUGAGACACGGUCCAGACUCCUACGGGAGGCAGCAGUGGGGAAUAUUGGACAAUGGGCGCAAGCCUGAUCCAGCCAUACCGCGUGGGUGAAGAAGGCCUUCGGGUUGUAAAGCCCUUUUGUUGGGAAAGAAAAGCAGCAGGUUAAUACCCCGCUGUUCUGACGGUACCCAGAGAAUAAGCACCGGCUAACUUCGUG